GCCAGCUUAGCUCAGAUGGUAGAGCAACUGAUUCGUAAUCAGUAGGUCGUCAGUUCAAUUCUGACAGCUGGCUCCA
rnacentral:tRNA from 3 species